AGUGGAUUUAGUAUUGAGCUGAAUGAGCCGUUUAUAUCAGCCAGUAGAGUCCUAUUGUCCUAUUGUGUGUUAGAAAUAUACAGUCUGCAUCUCCAGCAUUUACAAACUGACAGAUGCUAACUUGCAUAUGUUGGUCAAUUAGCAUAAUUAGCAUUAAUAAUCAGCUACAUCGACAAUAUUUCAGUAAUUGUUUGGAUGAUUUAGACAAUAUAAGAGUGUUUUUUGGGGGGUUAUUGAGGAUGAUGAAUCAAUUUCUGACAUCUGUGGCAACAUUUCAUCUCCCAGUGGACUGAUUUUUUAGGAUUUUUUUGUCAAUUUUGAGAUUAUUUAUUUGCUUAAUGCAUAACCACAGCUGCAGACACACAGGUCAAUGAGAAAAUGCUGCACAGCAAAAGAACACCAGCAGAAAUUUGAAUAAAUAUCUGAACACCAAUGACAAAGAGCUUCCUAAACUGCAGUUCCAAUGUAUUAUGCAUAUAAAUAACCUCAAAAUCAGUGAACCUGGAGUUCAAAUAAAAUAAAUUUAAAGUGCAAUUUUGUAUUUUGUAAAUGUCAGAAUUUGAUCCAUCAUCCUCAGCAACUCCCAAAACCACUACUAUAGUAUCUGUUGAAAUAUUCUCCAUACAGACAUCCAUACAUGCUUAUUAAUGCUAAUAAUGAUAAUUGAGUUGGAAUCUGUCAGUUUCUAAAUGCUGGGGACCCACACUGUAUAUUUCUAACAUAAAACUUUGGGACUCAACAUUUCUGAGUUCACGUUGCUGCGAGUUGACUAAUCCCUCCAAUCAGAGCUGUGUGUGUUUGUCAUGUGACUGAGAGGAAUGAUGGGAGAUAAUGUGUGAUCUCUCCCAGCAGGUAGUGUGGGCUCUGCUAUGGAUCAGUGUGAGGACAGAGAGGAGGGAGUCCCUCCCUCUAAAAGCACUCUGUGUGGGGAACAUGACACAAGGACCAAAGCUCAGAGGAUCCAUCAGAGACCAGACUGUCCUGAACCUAAACCCAGCUGUGUGUCCAUGAAGAGUGACCACUCUAUGGGUCGUCUUAUAUUCUUCAAAGAUGGCCGCCACUCUGUUGAUCAAAGAGUGGACCAGGAGAGCUCAGAGGUUCCCAGUGGUCAGUCUGCCCAGCAGCAUCAAACACACCUGGACUCCAUAUUUAUGGUCUGUACAUGGACAACAACUACUUUUACAUCUAUUGUGUUCACAAUAAUUUCCAUGCUGCACUUUUUAGACCAGUGGAUGGUCAGUCU
rnacentral:lncRNA from 15 species